AAGUGCGUGCAAUGUACACAAUGGGUAUUCAAUCAUUUCUCUAUAAUCAGGAUUACAUGAUUUACAACAACUCCUGUUGAUUAAAUGUCUAUGGAGCGACGUUAUACGAUCGUAUCUAGCAAUAUCCAUCGAUUAGCAAUAUAUCGACUCAUGAGCUCGGAAUACGCAAGUCAGAACAGUUGGCGGGCAUGGAAGGUCGGGCUGCUCGCUCAGUCAGAAGCAACAGGCAGCCACGAUGGAAGAAACCAGAGUAGCAGUGGUGACAGGAUCCAACAAGGGCAUCGGUCUGGCCAUCGUCAAGGACCUGUGCGCGAAGUUCGACGGCUGCGUGUACCUGACUGCUCGCGACGAAGAGAGAGGCUUGGAGAUUGUGGAGGCGCUUCAGGAGGAAGGUCUUUCGGUUCGCUUCCAUCAGCUGGACAUCGACGACGAAGAGAGCAUUGCCACCUUCAAGACGCACCUCGAAGAAACCUACGGAGGUCUGGACGUCCUUGUCAAUAACGCUGCCGUUGCCUAUAAAGGAACCGCGACGGAGCCGUUUGGAGAGCAAGCCGAGAACACCAUCCGCGUGAACUUCUUCGGCACGCUCGCCGUCUGCCGCAGCCUCUUCCCUCUGCUGCGACCCCACGCCAGGGUAGUUACGCUGUCCAGCUUCGUGGGCUUCCUCCCGAGGGUGAACGGGGACGAGCCGCAGGCGUUCAGCCUCAGGGAGAAGUUGUCCUCGGAGGAACUCACCGAGGACGAGCUGAGCGAUCUCAUGAAUCACUUCGUUGAGACGGCGAAGGACGGGACCUGGACGGAAGCAGGGUGGCAAAACAGCGCGUACUCAGUCAGCAAAGUGGGAGUGACAGCCCUGACCCGCGUCCAGCAGCGAGCCUUCGAUGAUGACUCGCGUGAAGACCUCAUUGUGAACUGUUGCAACCCGGGGGCCGUGGUGACCGACAUGAGUUCGCAAAGGGGUGUUUUCACCGCCGAAGAAGGAGCCGAAUGCCCCGUCUACUUGGCACUUCUCCCUCCCGACGUCGAGGAGCCAAAGGGUGCCUUCGUAUGGCAUGACAAGCAGGUCGUGGACUGGGUCAAAGGUCCGUUGCCAGGUCCUUACUGAAUGUGAAAAAGGUCACUUGGAUACCGCUUUCAGUGCUGCGCUACGUGAACGGUCAUAUAUCUGUGGAACAACUGGAGCACAUAGUUGAGAUAAUGAGAAAACAGAAAAGUAAAUGAUCUAUGUUGAGUAUCCAGAAUUUCCAAAACAUGAAUAUUGUUUUCGUUAUUUCUUUAGUAAAUUUACAUUUUAUAAUUUUUAAAGUUCAGUUCCAAAACACAAAAGGUUUUUCCUGUGAAUCAGCAGCUAAGGGUAAUUUGUUGGUCCACGUCUUCGAUUUAUCUAUGCAUUUGCACAAACAUUUAACAGUAUCAGCUACAAGGUAUACAAGUCUAAUGUUUGCUUCUUUGUCUUUCUUGCCCAUUGAAUGCUUAUUCUCAGGUAUUUUAAUUUUUUUAUGCCAUAUAUUUAGGUUUCACAGAGGAUAAACAAAUAGAGUUGUAUUAAUUCAAAUUUCCUUUAUUAGAAAAUCACGGCAAACUUGUGCAUUUAAUUGUAUUGAGGAAAGUAAAUAUAGUUUCCUGCUUCUUUCACAUCCAUCUCUAAUAAACAAAAAACAACAAAGUA